GAAGGAUCAUUACCGAAUUGUCGACACGAGUUGUUGCUGGCCUUCAAACGGGGGUAUGUGCACGCUCUGUUUACACAUCCACUCACACCUGUGCACCCUCUGUAGUUCUAUGGCCUGGGGGACGCUGUCCUCUUGCUGUGGUCCUAUGUCUUUACACACACACUGUAAUAAAGUCUUAUGGAAUGCAUGUCGCGUUUAACGCAAUACAAUACAACUUUCAGCAACGGAUCUCUUGGCUCUCGCAUCGAUGAAGAACGCAGCGAAAUGCGAUAAGUAAUGUGAAUUGCAGAAUUCAGUGAAUCAUCGAAUCUUUGAACGCACCUUGCGCCCUUUGGCUAUUCUGAAGGGCAUGCCUGUUUGAGUAUCAUGAACACCUCAACUCUCAUGGUUUGCCAUGAUGGGCUUGGACUUUGGGGGUCUUGCUGGCCUAUGGUCGGCUCCUCUCAAAUGAAUCAGCUUGCCAGUGUUUGGUGGCAUCACAGGUGUGAUAACUAUCUACGCUUGUGGUUUUCCACCGGGUAACCUUCAGUGAUGGAGGUUCACUGGGGCUCACAAAUGUCUCUCCUCAGCGAGGACAGCUUUUUGAACGUUUGAUCUCAAAUCAGGUAGGACUACCCGCUGAACUUAAGC
rnacentral:rRNA from 1 species